rnacentral:rRNA from 1 species
CCUACGGGGGGCUGCAGUCGAGAAUCAUUCACAAUGGGGGAAACCCUGAUGGUGCGACGCCGCGUGGGGGAAUGAAGGUCUUCGGAUUGUAAACCCCUGUCAUGUGGGAGCAAAUUAAAAAGAUAGUACCACAAGAGGAAGAGACGGCUAACUCUGUGCCAGCAGACGCGGUAAUACAGAGGGCUCAAGCGUUGUUCGGAAUCACUGGGCGUAAAGCGUGCGUAGGCUGUUUCGUAAGUCGUGUGUGAAAGGCGCGGGCUCAACCCGCGGACGGCACAUGAUACUGCGAGACUAGAGUAAGGGAGGGGGAACCGGAAUUCGCGGUGUAGCAGUGAAAUGCGUAGAUAUCGAGAGGAACACUCGUGGCGAAGGCGGGUUCCUGGACAUUAACUGACGCUGAGGCACGAAGGCCAGGGGAGCGAAAGGGAUUAGAUACCCCUGUAGUC